rnacentral:misc_RNA from 1 species
AAGUCGUAACAAGGUUUCCGUAGGUGAACCUGCGGAAGGAUCAUUAACUCGUGAAUACUUCACGAUUUAAACCAAACGCGAACUGUUGUUUAUCUCUGUCUCAUUGUCGUAUUCAAGUGACUUGCAAGGGAAUGGUGUGAGAUGCAAAUCUCUAACUUGUGAGUCUGUAGUCUUCGAGACUAAGCUUGGGUCGAUAGUGUUAUUCUUAAUUCUGACUGUAGGCCUGCACCUUGGCUUGCAGUUGGGGUGUUUACUUACCUAUUUACCUUUUUUAUAUUUUCUCUAAUUACUGUACAUACUUGCGAAUUCCUGUCUUGCCAAAGGUGGUUGAGUUCACUUGGAUGUCAAAAACAUAAACAAAAAACAACUCUUAGCAACGGAUAUCUUGGUUCUC